rnacentral:rRNA from 1 species
AUUGAACGCUGGCGGCAGGCCUAACACAUGCAAGUCGAGCGGAUGAAGGGAGCUUGCUCCUGGAUUCAGCGGCGGACGGGUGAGUAAUGCCUAGGAAUCUGCCUGGUAGUGGGGGAUAACGUCCGGAAACGGGCGCUAAUACCGCAUACGUCCUGAGGGAGAAAGUGGGGGAUCUUCGGACCUCACGCUAUCAGAUGAGCCUAGGUCGGAUUAGCUAGUUGGUGGGGUAAAGGCCUACCAAGGCGACGAUCCGUAACUGGUCUGAGAGGAUGAUCAGUCACACUGGAACUGAGACACGGUCCAGACUACUACGGGAGGCAGCAGUGGGGAAUAUUGGACAAUGGGCGAAAGCCUGAUCCAGCCAUGCCGCGUGUGUGAAGAAGGUCUUCGGAUUGUAAAGCACUUUAAGUUGGGAGGAAGGGAAGUAAGUUAAUACCUUGCUGUUUUGACGUUACCAACAGAAUAAGCACCGGCUAACUUCGUG